UUCGUAGGCGGUGCGGCAAGUCGGAAGUGAAAUCUCCAGGCUCAACUUGGAGGCUGCUCCCGAAACUGCCGCGCUAGAGUGCGGGAGAGGCCAGUGGAAUUGCAGGUGUAGCGGUGAAAUGCGUAGAUAUCUGCAGGAACACCCGUGGCGAAGGCGGCUGGCUGGACCGCAACUGACGCUGAGGAACGAAAGCUAGGGAGCAAACA
rnacentral:rRNA from 1 species